UGACCUCAAAUCAGGUAGGACUACCCGCUGAACUUAAGCAUAUCAAUAAGCGGAGGAAAAGAAACUAACAAGGAUUCCCCUAGUAACUGCGAGUGAAGCGGGAAAAGCUCAAAUUUAAAAUCUGGCGGUCUUUGGCCGUCCGAGUUGUAGUCUGGAGAAGUGCUUUCCGCGCUGGACCGUGUAUAAGUCUCUUGGAACAGAGCGUCAUAGAGGGUGAGAA
rnacentral:ncRNA from 1 species